GCUGGGUGUGGUGGUGCAUGCCUGUAAUUCCAGCAAUUUGGGAAGCUGAGGCAGGAGUAUUCCAAGUUCCAGGCCAGUCUCAGCAAGUUGGUAAGGCCCUAAGCAACUCAGGGAGAACCUGUCUCCA
rnacentral:sRNA from 1 species